rnacentral:rRNA from 1 species
CCUACGGGUGGCAGCAGUAGGGAAUAUUGCUCAAUGGGGGAAACCCUGACGCAGCAACGCCGCGUGGAGGAUGAAGGUUUUAGGAUUGUAAACUCCUUUUGUUAGAGAAGAUAUGACGGUAUCUUACGAAUAAACCCCGGCUAACUCCGUGCCAGCAUCCGCGGUAAUUAGGAGGGUGCCAGCGUUCAUCGGAAUCACUUGGCGGAAAGAGGUCGUAGGGGGGGUAAGAAGUCCGAUGUGAACUCCUGUAGCUUAAAUACAGAACUGCAGUUGAAACUGUUACUCUGGAGUGUGGGAGGGGUAGGUGGAAUGCUAGGUGUAGGGGUAAAAUCCGUAGAGAUCAAGAGGAAUACUCAUUGCGAAGGCGACCUGCUGGAACAUUACUGACGCUGAUGCACGAAAGCGUGGGGAGCAAACAGGAUUAGAUACCCGAGUAGUC